UACGUAGGGGGGCAAGCGUUGUCCGGAAUCAUUGGGCGUAAAGAGCGUGUAGGCGGCCCGGUAAGUCCGCUGUGAAAGUCGGGGGCUCAACCCUCGAAUGCCGGUGGAUACUGUCGGGCUAGAGUGCGGAAGAGGCGAGUGGAAUUCCUGGUGUAGCGGUGAAAUGCGCAGAUAUCAGGAGGAACACCAAUUGCGAAGGCAGCUCGCUGGGACGUAACUGACGCUGAGACGCGAAAGCGUGGGGAGCAAACAGG
rnacentral:rRNA from 1 species